AUUGAACGCUGGCGGCAUGCCUUACACAUGCAAGUCGAACGGCAGCACGGGAGCAAUCCUGGUGGCGAGUGGCGAACGGGUGAGUAAUAUAUCGGAACGUGCCCAGUCGUGGGGAUAACGUAGCGAAAGCUACGCUAAUACCGCAUACGAUCUAUGGAUGAAAGCGGGGGAUCGCAAGACCUCGCGCGAUUGGAGCGGCCGAUAUCAGAUUAGGUAGUUGGUGAGGUAAAGGCUCACCAAGCCGACGAUCUGUAGCUGGUCUGAGAGGACGACCAGCCACACUGGGACUGAGACACGGCCCAGACUCCCUACGGGAGGCAGCAGUGGGGAAUUUUGGACAAUGGGCGCAAGCCUGAUCCAGCAAUGCCGCGUGCAGGAUGAAGGCCUU
rnacentral:rRNA from 1 species